rnacentral:rRNA from 1 species
UAGGGAAUCUUCGGCAAUGGACGGAAGUCUGACCGAGCAACGCCGCGUGAGUGAAGAAGGUUUUCGGAUCGUAAAGCUCUGUUGUUAGAGAAGAACGUUGGUAGGAGUGGAAAAUCUACCAAGUGACGGUAACUAACCAGAAAGGGACGGCUAACUACGUGCCAGCAGCCGCGGGAAUACGUAGGUCCCGAGCGUUGUACGGACUUAUUGGGCGUAAAGCGAGCGCGGGCGGUUCUUUAAGUCUGAAGUUAAAGGCAGUGGCUUACCCAGUGUACGCUUUGGAAACUGGAGGGCUUGAGUGCAGAAGGGGAGAGUGGAAUUCCAUGUGUAGAGGUGAAAUGCGUAGAUAUAUGGAGGAACACCUGUGGCGAAAGCGGCUCUCUGGUCUGUUACUGACGCUGAGGCUCGAAAGCGUGGGGAGCAAACAGG